GGGCGGGCCUUUCCGGAGGGUCUUAGUCCUUCACUUCCUGUUUGUGGGACCUUCUGAAUCCGGGUCAAGUGUGUUAGCUUCUUCUCUUCUCCGGAGCUGACCCGGCACCUUCAGUGACAGCGGCUUCUGACUCAACCCAGGGCGGGUUUCAUCUUAUGACCUGCCAAAGGCCGGACGCCCACACCUGCCCCAGGAAGCGAAGGCGAGCUUCCUCCACCUACUGGCUGGCAGCCCCGAGCCCCGUGUGACCGCCGCUGCCGAGGGUCCCCGCCAUCCUCUCCGCGCUGAUGCUGAGAGGGAACGCAGGCCCGGGGCGUCUGCGGAGUGCGGGCCUCUGGCUCCUUAGGCCCGCGACGGGCGGUGCUGGCUCUUACGCUACCCAGGCUUGCCACCCCCCACCCGGACUUGGAUGGGCUCCCCUACCCGAUAAAUGUGGCUGCUGAGACUGUGGUGGCGGUGGUCGGUCCCGCUACUGCUGCGCCCCAAGUUCCCCUUUGCCACGGGACUCUCGUGCCCCACGUCGGGACUGUCGGCCCCCGCUCCUAACCCCGUGGCCCUGGCCUUGCAACUUGGCGACAAUGGACAAGAUCCUGGAGGGCCUGGUGAGUUCUUCGCACCCACUGCCCCUGAAACGGGUGAUUGUGCGGAAGGUGGUGGAAUCAGCAGAGCAUUGGCUGGACGAGGCGCAGUGCGAAGCCAUGUUUGACCUGACUACCCGGCUCAUCCUGGAGGGCCAAGACCCCUUUCAACGGCAGGUGGGGCACCAAGUGCUGGAGGCCUAUGCACGGUACCACCGGCCGGAGUUCGAGUCCUUCUUCAACAAGACGUUCGUGUUGGGCCUCCUUCAGCAGGGUUACCACUCGCUGGACAGGAAGGACGUAGCCAUUCUGGACUACAUUCACAACGGCCUGAAGCUGAUCAUGAGCUGCCCGUCGGUGCUAGACCUCUUCAGCCUGCUUCAAGUGGAGGUGUUACGUAUGGUGUGUGAGAGGCCGGAGCCGCAGCUGUGUGCCCGAUUGAGCGACCUGCUGAGCGACUUCGUGCAGUGCAUCCCCAAGGGAAAAUUGUCAAUCACCUUCUGUCAACAGCUUGUUCGAACGAUAGGCCAUUUCCAGUGCGUGUCCACCCAGGAGAAGGAGCUGCGGGAAUAUGUGUCUCAGGUGACAAAAGUGAGUAACUUGCUGCAGAACAUCUGGAAGGCCGAGCCCUCCACACUCCUCCCUUCCCUGCAAGAAGUUUUUGCAAGCAUUUCUUCCACAGAUGCAUCAUUUGAACCUUCUGUAGCAUUGGCAAGCCUUGUGCAGCAUAUUCCUCUUCAGAUGAUUACAGUUCUCAUCAGGAGCCUAACUACGGAUCCAAAUGUAAAAGAUGCAAGUAUGACCCAAGCUCUUUGCAGAAUGAUUGACUGGCUGUCCUGGCCAUUGGCUCAACAUGUGGACACAUGGGUAAUUGCACUCCUGAAAGGACUAGCAGCUGUCCAGAAGUUUACUAUUUUGAUAGAUGUUACUUUACUGAAAAUAGAACUGGUUUUUAAUCGACUUUGGUUUCCUCUUGUGAGACCUGGUGCUCUUGCAGUUCUUUCACAUAUGCUGCUUAGUUUUCAGCAUUCUCCAGAAGCGUUCCAUUUGGUUGUUCCUCAUGUAGUUAAUUUGGUUCACUCCUUCAAAAGCGAUGGUCUGCCUUCCAGUACAGCCUUCUUAGUGCAGUUAACAGAAUUGAUACAGUGUAUGAUGUAUCAUUAUUCUGGAUUUCCAGAUCUCUACGAACCUAUUCUGGAAGCAAUAAAGGAUUUUCCUAAACCCAGUGAAGAGAAGAUUAAAUUAAUUCUCAAUCAAAGUGCCUGGACUUCUCAAUCCAAUUCUUUGGCAUCUUGCUUGUCUAGACUUUCUGGAAAAUCUGAAACUGGGAAAACUGGCCUCAUUAAUCUAGGAAAUACAUGUUAUAUGAACAGUGUUAUACAAGCAUUGUUUAUGGCCACAGAUUUCAGGAGGCAAGUAUUAUCUUUAAAUCUAAAUGGGUGCAAUUCAUUAAUGAAAAAAUUACAGCAUCUUUUUGCCUUUUUGGCCCAUACACAGAGAGAAGCAUAUGCACCUCGGGUGUUCUUUGAGGCUUCCAGACCUCCAUGGUUUACCCCCAGAUCACAGCAAGACUGUUCUGAAUACCUCAGGUUUCUGCUAGACAGGCUACAUGAAGAAGAAAAGAUCUUGCAAGUUCAGUCCUCACACAAGCCUCCUUCAAGUCUGGGGUGCAAUGAAACUUCUUUCCAGGAAGUGGCGAGCAAGGCAGCUAUACUAACAGAGAGCCCUUGCACAAGUGAGGGUGAGAAGACUUUAAUAGAAAAAAUGUUUGGAGGAAAACUACGAACUCACAUAUGUUGUUUGAACUGCAGGAGUACCUCACAAAAAGUGGAAGCCUUUACUGAUCUUUCACUGGCCUUUUGUCCUUCCUCUUGUAUCGAAAAUUUAUCUUUUCAAGAUGCAGCAUCAUCACCCAAUACACAAGAUGGAGAUCUAAUGCAAGCCAGUAUACCUUCAGAAGAACCAGGAGUUUAUAGUCCAGCAACAGCUGCCUUUGUUUGUGAUUCAGCUGUGAAUGAAAGAAUGUCACGCAGUCCUCCUGAUGAGUUUUGCUUUACUGAUAACACUUCUGUCCCUCAUGAAUCUAGCAGGAUUCUUGUUAAUAAAGAUGUACCUCAGAGACCAGGAGGUGGAAGCACACCUUCAGUCACCGACUUACUAAAUUAUUUUUUGGCUCCAGAGAUUCUUACUGGCGACAACCAGUAUUAUUGUGAAAACUGUGCCUCUCUGCAGAAUGCCGAGAAAACUAUGCAAAUCACAGAGGAGCCUGAAUACCUUAUUCUAACUCUCCUGAGAUUUUCAUAUGAUCAGAAGUAUCAUGUGAGAAGAAAAAUCUUAGACAACGUGUCCCUGCCACUGGUUUUGGAGUUGCCAGUUAAAAGAACUACUUUCUCUUCAUUGUCAGAAAGUUGGUCGAUAGAUGUUGACUUCACUGAUAUUAGUGAGAACCUAGCUAAAAAAUUAAAGUCUUCUGGAACUGAAGAAGCUUGCUGCUCCAGAUUGGUGCCGUAUCUGUUAAGUUCUGUUGUCGUUCACUCUGGUAUCUCCUCUGAAAGUGGGCAUUACUAUUCUUAUGCCAGAAACAUCACGGGUACAGAGUCCUCAUACCAGAUGUGCCACCAGUCUGAAACUCUGGCAUUAGCGUCCUCCCAGAGUCAUUUACUCGGGAGAAAUAGUCCCAGUGCAGUUAUUGAACAAGAUUUAGAAAAUAAGGAAAUGUCAAAAGAAUGGUUUUUAUUUAAUGACAGCAGAGUGACAUUUACUUCAUUUCAGUCAGUGCAGAAAAUUACAAGUAGGUUUCCAAAGGACACAGCUUAUGUGCUUUUGUAUAAAAAACAGAGUAGCACUAAUAGUUUAAGUGGUAACAAUUCAACCAGUGGACUCUGGGUAAAUGGCGACCCACCUCUACAGAAAGAACUUAUGGAUGCUAUAACAAAAGACAAUAAACUAUAUUUACAGGAACAAGAGUUGAACGCUCGUGCCCGGGCCCUACAAGCUGCAUCUGCCUCAUGUUCAUUUCGGCCCAAUGGAUUUGAUGACAAUGACCCACCAGGAAGCUGUGGACCAACUGGUGGAGGGGGUGGAGGAGGAUUUAAUACUGUUGGCAGACUCGUAUUUUAAUCCUGAGAGAAUCCAAAAUGCACUGGUCACAAAACAUCUAUUACUAUGACUGUUAAAAUGUCAGAUUGUAACAAAUAUCAUACCUAUCUUUUAUUUUUCUUUUCAUUAGACCCUUUUACUUUAAGAAAACACACUCAGUGCUUGUUUUUAUUUUCUUGACAAUACAUUUAUUAACAGAUGUAUCAUGGGAAAAAAAAAAACUACCUCUUAAAAUUCCAUUUACUUUUAUGGUUAGACAUGCUUGACCAAAAAUUUUCAGAGGAAAGUAUGUACCUGGUCCCUAAUUAAGCUGCAUUAAAUUUAGUAGAGGCAUUUAAAUGAUCUCAUUCUCAGUUUUACUAAACAAAAAGUAUAACUCAUUUAGCCUCUUUUAUAAAAGAAUUGAUGCUAGAAAUGAUGGAAAAAAUUUUGUUUCCUGUAUAUUACCCCAUUAUUAAAUUCAGAUCUCUUAAAAUGCUAAAGAUAAUACAGUCUCUAAUGAAGGCAAUAACAUAAAACUUAUCAACUAUAGUACGUUUCAGGUUUUUGUUUAGUGCUGUCCUCAGCAUCACUGUAUCUGCAUUUCAAGUACAAAUGUUUUAAAAAAGGAUUAUUUAUACAUAUAUGCUGAAUUGAUUUUAAGAAAGGUGCAUGAUCCUGUAGAAACAACAUUUUUACCUAAAAAUUGCUAACUUUGUAGUAUUUCUAAUUGUUUAAGGAUUUUAAAAUUCUAUUUCAGGGAGUAUAUCUUCUCUGUGUUUUGAAGGAGCAAGGACACUGGCUACCAAUAUAAACAGGUCAGCAAUUGUCUGAAACAGUUACAGAAUAGUCACUAUCCCUUGUUGGAACAUCAUGGUUAAACACUUUCUUUCAUCAUCUCCUCCUCUCACCUGGCCCAGCCUAAAUCCAGGGGGAUUAAGACAGGGCAAAAUAAGAACAAAAAUCGGCCACAGUAAAGACCCUAGAGAGUUUUUCUCCUGUAAGUGCAGUGGAAGUUCAGGCUCCAAAAAGCCACCUAGGAAGCUGACCCAUGGCCAACUUAAGACCCACACCCCUCAAGACCCAGCAGUAAUGUACCGGAAGACUUAGCCAAAAGCAACAUGGCAGGAGCUGUGCCAGGAGAGGAGCAGAGGGGUGAGAAGAGAGCACCUCAGAGUGAAAGUAUGGCUUCUGAUGCCUCAUCUGACGAUUCACAGGCUCAUCUCUAAUGCUACUUAAUGCAGGAAGCUUUCCAAGCCUGGAAGAACUAAAUUUGGUUUCUCCCAUCAUCUGGAAAGAGUCACCUCUCUGACUCCCGCCCUGACCCAGCAGAGGAUAUUCACAUUGUUUCUUUAAACAAAAAUAAAUAAAUACAGAAAACCAGAAUCAAAACUUCAAACCAA